AUACGUAGGGGGCGAGCGUUGUCUGGAAUGAUUGGGCGUAAAGGGCGCGUAGGCGGCGCGGUAAGUCUGGAGUGAAAGUCCUGCUUUCAAGGUGGGAAUUGCUUUGGAUACUGCCGCGCUUGAGUGCAGGAGAGGUUAUCGGAAUUCCCGGUGUAGCGGUGAAAUGCGUAGAGAUCGGGAGGAACACCAGUGGCGAAGGCGGGUAACUGGACUGCAACUGACGCUGAGGCGCGAAAGUGUGGGGAGCAAACAGGAUUAGAUACCCUGGUAGUCCACACUGUAAACGAUGAAUGCUAGGUGUAAGAGGUAUCGACCCCUUUUGUGCCGGAGUCAACACAAUAAGCAUUCCGCCUGGGGAGUACGGCCGCAAGGUUGAAACUUAAAGGAAUUGACGGGG
rnacentral:rRNA from 1 species